CUUCACAAUAGCACCCUGAAGCAGAAUAUGCAUUAUUCUCUUUCUGCAGUAUCCCCCAGAGCUCAAGAUUCUCUGAGGCAGGAAGUGUCUGGGGACUCUGGCUAACUUAACAGAAAAGACCUGGAGAUGCUGACAUCAGAGACAAUAGCUUGGAAAAACGGAGGCCAUGCAGGAAGAAGAAAACUGGGGGGAAAAAAACUCAACCUUCUAUUAACAUUUUCAAAGAUCUAGGAGAAUAUUUUAUACCCAUGAAACAAGAAUACAGAUGCUAUGUUAAAAAAAAGAACAUUCAGAAAUGUAAAAGAGCUGCUCUUAGAAAUUAAAGAUAAUAUAGGAGAAAUUUUUAAAAGCUCAAUAGAAAUUUUAGAAAAUUCUGGAAAAAAAAGAAAAAGAAGCAGGAGAUGGAUAAUAGGAAACAACAGCAAUUCCAGAAAAGAGAGUACCAGAAAUAGACAGGAAGAAGUUAUCAAAGAAAUAAUUUUGAAAAUUGCCAGAACUGAGGGACAUGAGUUGCCAGACUAAAAGGAUCUGCUGAGUGCCACGAUGGAUUAAAGCACUAAGUCCAGUUACUGUAAACUUUCAGAGCACAUGGGACAAAGAAAAGAUUUCAAAAUCUUUCAAAGAAAACUCAAGUUUCAAACACAAAAAUAAGAUCCACGAUAGCACCAAACUUCUCUACAGGAUGGUUGGAAGCCCAAAGACAAUGAAGCAAUGUCUUAAAAACUCAAAGGAAUAGGAAUUGCAACCUAACCAAACCAGCAUAAAUUAGUGUGAGAAUAUAACAAUGAUCUUUUUAGGCACUCAACAUCUCGUAUACCCUUUUUAAAGAAGGUAAUGGCAGAUAUGACCUACCAAAAUAAGACAGUAAAUGAAGAAAGGUAAAAAACUGAAACCCAGCAAAAGGUAAUCCAACAUAAGAGACAGACAAAAGAAAUCCCCAGGAUGAAGAUGAAAGAAAAACCCAAGAUAACAGUUAUGCACCAAGCAUGGAGCAACCAACUCAAACUGGAGCCAAUUCAGAAGGCUCAAGGAGAGAUUUCUUCAACAUGAAAUUAAUAGCUACUUUCCUCCUCCUCCUUCUCCUCCUCCUGCUCCUCCUCCCCCCUAUUUUCCUUUCCCCUCUUUUUUUUCUUCUCUUUUUUCUUAUAAAGUGGUUCCUUUAACAUUUUUUGUCAUGUAACAUUUUUCCUUUAUUUCAAAAGCACUGUAAGAAAUAA
rnacentral:lncRNA from 10 species